CUAGUUGGGUGUAACCCCUAAUAGAUUAUAAUGAGGGUAUAUAAGCAAGCGUAUCAUUCAGCACGAUUUGCGGGAAAGUAGUCAUCCAUAUUGGUUGAAGCAGUUGUUCUUCACUUUUAUUCUGUUUUCUAUAAAGUCAUAGCACUGGGCAUCAUCUGCAGUCAAGACUGGGGUCAUAAGCUGUCAUAGGAGGUCAAUCCACAAUUGGGCUUUGACAACUUUGCGACGCCUUUUUGAUUUCUCUGAGACGCUUUAAAUAAGCUGUUUAUCAUAGUUAUUUCCAGAGAUUGUAUUACAAUUAUGUAAUCAUUAAAAGUUAUAGUGUUGAGGGAAAACUAAAUUAAAUGGACAUGUAAUGAACCCAGCUUGUGUGUUGUCUGUAUAUAUUCAUUUUUAGCUCAUCUAUUUUUUGAAAAAAAAUUAUGAGCUAUUGUCAUCACCUUGGCGUCGGCGUUGGCGUUGGCGUUGGCGUUGGCGUUGGCGUUGGCGUCGGCGUCCGGUUAAGUUUUGCGUUUAGGUCCACUUUUCUCAGAAAGUAUCAAUGCUAUUGCAUUCAAACUUGGUACACUUACUUACUAUCAUGAGGGGACUAGGCAGGCAAAGUUAGAUAACUCUGGCGUGCAUUUUGACAGAAUUAUGUGCCCUUUUUGUACUUAAAAAAUUGCAAAUUUUGGUUAAGUUUUGCGUUUAGUUCCACUUUUCUCAGUAAGUAUCAAUGCUAUUGCAUUCAAACUUGGUACACUUACUUACUAUCAUGAGGGGACUGGGCAGGCAAAGUUAGAUAACUCUGGCAUGCAUUUUGACAGAAUUAUGUGCCCUUUUUAUACUUAGAAAAUUGACAAUUUUGGUUAAGUUUUGUGUUUAGGUCCAUUUUAUUCCUUAAGCAUCAAAGCUAUUGCUUUCAUACUUGCAACACUUACUAACUAUCAUAAGGGGACUGUGCAGGCAAAGUAAUGUAACUCUGACUGGCAUUUUGACAGAAUUAUGUGCCCUUUUUAUACUUAGAAAAUUGAAAAUUUGAUUAAGUUUUGUGUUUAGGUCCACUUUAUUCCUACAGUAUCAAAGCUAUUGCUUUCAUACUUGCAAGAUUUAUGAACUAUCAUAAGGGGACGGUGCAGGCAAAGUUAUGUAACUCUGACUGGCAUUUGGACGGAAUUAUGGGCCCUUUAUACUUAGAAAAUUGAAAAUUUGGUUAAGAUUUAUGUUUUGGUCACUUUACCCCUAAAGUAUCAUAGAUAUUGCUUUCAUACUUGGAACACUCACAAACUAUCAUAAGGGUACAGUAAAAGGACAAGUUGCAUAACUCUGGUUGUCAUUGUUACGGAAUUAUGGCCCUUUUUUGACUUAGUAACUUUUAAUAUAUGGUUAAAUUUUGUGUUUCGAUCCACUCGAAGUAUCAAGGCUAUUGCUUUCAAACUUCAAAUACUUACAUGCUAUCAUGAGGUUACUGUACCUGGCAACUUGAAUUUUACUUUGACCUUUGAAUGACCUUGACUCUCAAGGUCAAAUUAUUAAAUUUUGCUAAA